rnacentral:rRNA from 1 species
AGUCAAUAGAUACCCGGGUAGUCCACGCCGUAAACGAUGAAUACUAGGUGUAGGAGGUAUCGACUCCUUCUGUGCCGCAGUUAAACACAAUAAGUAUUCCGCCUGGGGAGUACGGUCGCAAGAUUAAAACUCAAAGGAAUUGACGGGGGCCCGGCACAAGCAGCGGAGCAUGUGGUUUAAGUUUACGAAGCAACGCGAAGAACCUUACCUAGACUUGACAUCUUCUGCAUUAAUCGUAAUGGAUGAAAUACCCUUCGGGGUACGAGAAUGACAGGUGGUGCAUGGUUGUCGUCAGCUCGUGUCGUGAGAUGUUGGGUUAAGUCCCGCAACGAGCGCAACCCUACUUAUUAGUUGCUAACAUUAAGUUGAGCACUCUAGUGAGACUGCCCGGGUUAACCCGGGUAGGAAGGUGGGGUAGUGAGGUCAAAUCAUCAUGCCCCGUUACUGUCUAGGGCUACACACGUGCUACAAUGGUGGGAACAAAGAGAUGCAAUACCGCAAGGUGGAGCUAAACCUCAAAACCCCGACUCCAGUUCGGAUUGUAGGCUGAAACUCG